rnacentral:rRNA from 1 species
AAACUACAGGAUUCCCCUAGUAACGGCGAGUGAAGCGGGAAUAGCUCAAAUUUAAAAUCUUGUAGGGUUACCUGCACGAAUUGUAGUUUAGAGAAACGUUUUCGGGUCUGGCAUGGGCAUAAGUCCUUUGGAACGAGGCAUCAUAGAGGGUGAGAAUCCCGUUUUUGGCCCAUUGUUCAGUCCUAUGUGAUACGUUUUCCAAGAGUCGGUUUGUUUGGGAAUGCAGACCAAAAUGGGUGGUAAAUACCAUCUAAAGCUAAAUAUUGGCGAGAGACCGAUAGCGAACAAGUACCGUGAGGGAAAGAUGAAAAGAACUUUGAAAAGAGAGUUAAACAGUACGUGAAAUUGUCAAAAGGGAAACGCUUGAAACCAGUAUUGCUGGCAAAUAAUCAGCCUUGCAAUUUGCAAGGUGCACUUGUUUGUUGGCAGGUCAACAUCAGUUUGACUUGGGGUAAAAAGCCAGAAGAAGGUGACCCAGAGCUUGCUUUGGGUGUUAUAGCUUCUGGUCCUGCCUUGGGUUGGACUGAGGACUGCAGCAUUUUUUGGGUACCCAGUCGCCUCCUGAAACCGUAUUGCAGACAGCUUGCUGACUGCAAAAUUGCGUAGGGAGCCCGGUUGGUCUUCCACACCAAUGCUUAGGAUGUUGACGAAAUGGUUUUAAACGACCCGUCUUGAAACACGGACCAAGGAGUCUAACAUAUAUGCGAGUAUUUGGGUGGCAAACCCUUAUGCGAAAUGAAAGUGAACUUA